ACAGCCCACUGCCCUGAGGACUUCUUAAGAGGCUGCUCACACCCUGUGCAGGAGUCAGUCCCCUUCAGGACACAGCAUGGCCAUGAGGACCCCUACUCAUAUCCUGGGACUCCUGCUGCUCUGCAUUACAGGUGUCAGAUGUGAUAUCAUGAUGACCCAGUCUCCAUCAUCCUUGCCUGUGUCUCGUGGAGACAGAGUCACCAUCACCUGCAGAGCUAGUCAGGGCAUUAGCAGUAGUUUACACUGGUAUCAGCAGAAACCAGGACAACCUCCUAAGCUCCUCAUCAGAUAUGCAAACACUUUGCAAUCUGGAGUCCCCUCAAGGUUCAGUGGCAGUGGAUCUGGGACAGAUUUCACUCUCACCAUCAGCAGCCUGGAGCCUGAAGAUGUUGCCACUUAUUACUGUCAACAGAGUAGUAGUUUGCCACACACAGUGAUACAGGCCAUGACAAAAACCUACCAAGGAGCAGAAGUGUGA